CCACCAGGGCCACCCCGGGCCACCAGGGCCACUAAGGGGCCACCAGGGCCACUGUGGGGUCACCCAGGGCCACUGGGGCCACCAAAGGCCACCAAGGGGCCGUCAGGGUCACUGUGGGGCCACCAAGGGUCAGCAAGGCGUCACCAAGGACCACAAGAGUCACCAAUGGGGCCACCAGGGCCACCAUGGGCCACUGUGGGGUCGCUGAGGCCACCAGGGCCACCAAGGGCCACCAAUGGGGCCACCAGGGUCACCAAGGGUCACCAUGAGCCACUGUGGGGUCGCUGAGGCCACCCAGGGCCACCAAGGGGUCACCCAGGGCCACCAAGGGUCACCAGGGCCAUCAGGGGGCCGCCAGGGCCACCAAGGGGUCACCCUGGGCCACCACGGGGUCACUGGGGCCACCACGGGCACGGCCAGAGCCAUCGAGGGCCACCACGAGGCCACCGCUGGGGCCACCCCAGGGAGAGGCGAGGGGUGGCCAAGGCCACCGUGGGAACAGCCAGGGCCACCACGGGCCACCAAGGGCCACCAGGGCCAUCGAUGGGGCCACCGCUGGGCUGGACUGGGCCACCACAGUGAGAGGCAGGGGCCAGCCGGGGCCACCAUGGGGCCACCAAAGGGACCAGAGGAGCAACCAGGGCCACAGAGGGGGUGGCCACGGCCACUACAGGGACAGUCAGGGCCACCACGGGGACAGUCAGGGCCAACCACGGGAUCAGGGCCACCGUGGGGACAGUUUGGGCCACCACGGGGUCAGUUUGGGCCGUUGUGGGGACAGUUUGGGCCACUGUGGGGUCCCCAAGGCCACUGUGGGGACGGUUUGGGCCACCACGGGGUCAGGGCCAGCACAGAGUCAGUUUGGGCCACCACGGGGUCAGUUUGGGCCACCACGGGGUCAGUUUGGGCCACCACGGGGUCUCUGGCUCCCGUGGGGACAGUUUGGGCCACCCCGGGGCCCGUCAGGGGCCACCUGGGGCCGGUCACGGACAGGAACCAAUAAAGGUGACACCAGUUC